UACGUAGGGGGCAAGCGUUGUCCGGAAUCAUUGGGCGUAAAGCGCGUGUAGGCGGCCCGGUAAGUCCGCUGUGAAAGUCGGGGGCUCAACCCUGGAAAGCCGGUGGAAACUGUCGAGCUAGAGUCCGGAAGAGGCGAGUGGAAUUCCUGGUGUAGCGGUGAAAUGCGCAGAUAUCAGGAGGAACACCAAUGGCGAAGGCAGCUCGCUGGGACGGUACUGACGCUGAGACGCGAAGGCGUGGGGAGCAAACAGG
rnacentral:rRNA from 1 species